rnacentral:snRNA from 1 species
GGAGGAUCCCUUGAGCCCAGGGGGAGGCUACAGUGAGCUAUGGUCUGUUUGCACCACUGUACUCCCGCUUGGGCAACAGUG